CCAUUACCUCACGGCAUCUUUUGUUGGCCCCAUACAAGAGAGAACAAAAUGGUUAUUCAGGGGAACGCUUUCGAUUUUUAUUGUGGGUAGCCUGCACAAAGAGCCGUGUUAUUGUAUUUAAAAGAACCAUCUGUAGCAGAAACAAUGGCAUCAAAUUAUCUUUGAAUACCCACUGAAAAAACAUAAAGCUUUUUUUUUUUAUUCUUCUUCUGUACGGUGGGGGGAUAGAGCAGUGUUAGGAUAACUGACUUUUUUGUUGUUCUCUGGGUGCAUUCUUCUCGCUCCCCCUCUCUCUCCCCCUCACCCUCUCUCUCCUCUCUCUCUCCCUCUCCCUCUCUCUCUCUCUCUUUUAAAAAAUCAGCCAUUUGGGGUUUUAAGCCAUAAACGAUUUUUCUUGUUGCAGGGGAUUGCAGUGGCAAAGCUAGGCUAGGUCUUGGAGGCUGGUGUAAGGCGAAGCGGGUGAAGGCAGGAGGGCUGAUGGAGAGACUGGGGGGAAGAAAAGCCGAAAUGGAUUCAUGGUGCCUUGGAUGGAGGACGAGAGGAGAAUUGCAAGCUCCUUCAACUCGUUCUGUCCGGUGAGAAGUGAUCAAGCUUGGGCUGACAAGAGGCUCAGGGAGCCCUCACGUUCUUUUGCUUUUUUACCUGCCAAUCAAACUGCUACAAGACAACACCCUGAUCUGGCAUGGACAUCGUGGGUCCAAGCCUGUAGCCCCAAAUCGGAUAAUCUCUGCAGCUGAUAACAAGCAAAAGAGAAGCCAGGCAACAGCCAUAUUAAAGAAGAAAACAAUCAACUCUGAGGUAGAUAUUUUACUUUGUCCGGUCUAAUCACAUUUAGAGAUGAUUGUGCUUUUGAUCUGUUAACCAUGUUUUACUAGAGUAGUAGAGAAGUAGGGGGAGGGGAAAGGGGGUGGAGAAACAAGAUUGGAUUUGUUGUUUUCUUUUGCCCUAGGAAAGGUAAAGAAAGACUGUAGUUAUCCUCAGUGGGAGCGGAAAAGUUAGGGAAUCGCCACGGUCUUUGAAUUAGCGAUGUUUCAGCUUCGCAGCGAACCCGCGCGCUUUGGCGCAGAGAAUCUGUAAGACCGACUCGGGGACUUUUAUUUUAUUCACUACUUAAGUCGUUCAUCUUCCCCUACCGAAGGGGACCAGGAACCUAGAGUCCUGCCUUAGGAGCGUGGGUUUCCUUCCUACAAUUUCAAGGGCUUGUUGUGUGAACUUGCCACAACUUUGGAGAAGUUAGAAUCCAGCUGCGCCUUUCACCCUUGAGUAAAGUAUCGGCUGCAGCCACUAAAUUAGUUCAUCCCGUUGGUUUGCAUCUUCUCGUUUUCCAAGAAAGUAUUUCUCUCUCGUGGUGUUGUUAUAUUAGUUCUGGGCUCAGCUGAGGAUAUCCUCAUAUUUUCUCUUUUUAUUUCAUAUGGAUUGCUUUAUGUGUUGGUUUUUUAUUUUAUUCCCUUUUUUCAUCCUCAUUUUUAGGGUAAUAUUGUACUGAGAAAGACAAUUAUUAUGCCAGUUCCCAAUUCUAAGUGAGGCAUUUCCCCCCCUAAUUAAUGCAGAGACUCUAAAAGAAUUUCCCCUGGCCUGGCCAGCCAUUGUAAUGCAUAUACAGAUUAUUCACGUGGUAAUGAGCACAUUCGCCAGUUCUUGCUCACACAUACGAAUAAAAGAAACUUUGAAUAAAGAUCCA
rnacentral:lncRNA from 1 species